rnacentral:rRNA from 1 species
GACGAACGCUGGGCGCGCGUUACACAUAUACGACUAAAGGGAAGGGCCCAUUGGGGGUACUCGAAUGGCGAAGGGGGGAGUAAAACGUGAGUAACCUGCCCCUGACUUCGGGAUACCUUCAGGAAACUGGGGCUAAUACCGGCUAGGAAUCCUUGCUGCAUGUGGGGUUUUGGAAAGCUUCGGCGGGUUUGGAUGGGCUGGCGGCUUAUCAGCUUGUUGGUGGGGUAGUGGCUUACCAAGGCUUUGAGGGGUAGCCGGCCUGAGAGGGCGACCGGCCACAUUGGGACUGAGCUGCGGCCCAGACUCCUACGGGAGGCAGCAGUGGGGAAGAGUGUUCAAUGGGCGGAAGGCUGGUGCAGCAACGCCGCGGGCGGGAAAACGGCCUUCGGGUUGGAGACCGCUUUCAGCAGGGGCGAAGCGUGUGGUGACGGUACCUGCAGAAGAAGCACCGGCUAACUACGUG